rnacentral:rRNA from 1 species
AUGGGGUGGGCAAAGCUCAACGUUGAUGGCUCCUUCAGCGCCACGGGUGGAGAGGCCGGAGCGGGCAUGAUCCUUCGCAGCUAUACCGGUGAUAUCAUCUUCUCUUCCUGCAGGGAACUGCGGACGUGCUCUGACCCCCUUGAGGCCGAGCUGCAUGCAUGCAUGGAGGGGCUCAACCUGGCGCUGCAGUGGACUCCGUUGCCUAUUGUGAUGGAAACAGACUAUUCGGUAGCACUACAUGUAAUAUUAGCACCGGUGCCAGACAAAUCUCGUUUUGCUAUGAUCGUUGACCAGGUUAGACGAUUGAUGUCAGGAGGAAGAGAAGUAAAGCUAGUUCAUGUACGUAGAGAGCAGAAUGGUGUGAGCCACUAUCUUGCGAACUACGGUAGAGUCCAUAAACGUACGGUUGUAUGGCUUGGAUCGGGACCGGAGGAGGUCCCAGAUUUGUGUAAGGCCGAGGCCCUUUAUGUGUGA